rnacentral:piRNA from 1 species
UAGUUAAGGAUAUUGUGGUGGUAAGGAU